UUCAAGGGAGCAGCUUCAAGUCUUUGGGGCCACCUUGACGGCUUAUGAGAAACAGUUUGCCUUGGGACACCAUUAUGGAAACAUUUGAGAAAAACUUACUUCUCAUUCAGCCGCAGGGAAGAUAUGGAGUAGGGGAUUUGAACUUUCAACAUUAAACAUUCAGAACUGGAGGGUCUAGCCUCAUUAUUGCUUCAAAAUAUUGUUGAACAUUGAGUGCUUUGUGCCAGGAUGUCCACUGUUGGGCUGAGCGUCUUGCAAAUGUCCCAUUUGGUUAUCACCUCAGUAUUUGUCCAUUUUUUAUUUGGUGAGGAACCAAGUAACUCAGCAUGAGUUACUCAACCUACCAAAAUGAAUUGCUUGGAUUUCUAUUCACUGGUAUUCUGCUGGUAUUUACCUAGUAUUCUCACCAUCUGUUCUGAAGAGACCAUAAUUUCUGUAUUGUUUAUAUACCUCUGACAGUUAGAGCUGAAAAAGGAGUCAUACUGGUGUGUAGGAGAUAAAGAUGUUAUUUAAGGGAAGGAAAUGGCCUGGAGCAAAACUACAAGGUAGCCUUCCAUGUGGUUGCUCAUGGCUGAAAGAAUUCACAUGUUGAAGUCUGAAGCCCCAGUGCCUGAGAACAUGACCUUACUUGGAAAGAGGGUUGUUGCAAAUGUAAUUGGUGAAGAUGAAGAGUACAGGCCUCUAGUACAGCAGGAUUUGCGUCUUUAUAAAAUUGUAUACAGGCACACGUAUAGGCAGAAUGCCAUGAAACCUGAAGACAUUCUUCUGUAAGCCAAGAGAGCAUCAUGACACAGAGACCCUCAGAGACCUUUCCCUCAAAGACCUCAGAAGGCUCUGAUCCUACUGACACCUUGAUAGCUUUUUGCCUCUAGA